GAUUCUCCUUCGGGAGAUGAGAGCGGCGCACGGGUGAGUAACGCGUACGUAACCUGCCUUACAGAGGAGAAUAGCCCUGGGAAACUGGGAUUAAUACUCCAUAGCAUAUAGACGGCGCAUGCUGUCUAUAUUAAAGUUGAGGCGCUGUAAGAUGGGCGUGCGUGCUAUUAGCUAGUUGGUGAGGUAACGGCUCACCAAGGCUACGAUAGCUAGGGGGCGUGAGAGCGUGGCCCCCCACACGGGUACUGAGACACGGACCCGACUCCUACGGGAGGCAGCAGUAAGGAAUAUUGGACAAUGGUCGAAAGACUGAUCCAGCCAUCCCGCGUGCAGGAUGACUGCCCUAUGGGUUGUAAACUGCUUUUAUAUGGGAAGAAUAGCAUAGAUUGGUCUGUGUAUGACGGUACCAUAUGAAUAAGCACCGGCUAACUCCGUGCCAGCAGCCGCGGUAAUACGGAGGGUGCAAGCGUUAUCCGGAAUCACUGGGUUUAAAGGGUGCGUAGGUGGCCCGAUAAGUCAGAGGUGAAAGCCCGUCGCUUAACGAUGGGAUUGCCUUUGAUACUGUUGGGCUUGAAAUAGGUUGAGGUAGGCGGAAUGUGACAUGUAGCG
rnacentral:rRNA from 1 species